rnacentral:rRNA from 1 species
AUGGCAACAUCAGAUGGGAUGGUAUGUACUGUUGUGAUCGUCAAUAGACACUCCAACAAGGUUGAGUUGGCGGCUAAGCUUUGCAACGAGGAGCGCUCCGACACAAAAUCAGCAUGGCAAAUUGGGGAGUCCAUGGAGGAGACUGUCGGGCGAGCCAAAGCCAAGAGGAGUCGGGAUCAUAUGGAGGCGCGCAAUCAGGGAAUGAAGCGACUGGAACGGCAAACAUCUGUGUGGCGUAGAGCCAGCAGGUGGGCUUUUUUAGGCCCGGCCCAUGGCCAGGUAUGGGCAAAUAAGACUAAACCCUGUUUCAACUCAUGUCGGGGCUGCACGCUCAUCUGUGGUGGCACCAUUAAGAUGUAUGCGAGCAUCAUGGACGAUCAUGACAACCGGCUGCGAUGGGCUCCCUGCCCAUCUAUUCUGGCGCUAUCGAUAUGGAGGCUAGCAUCAUGGAUAUUUAUUUAUGGCCGCCAUUGCAACGUCGUCUUCACUGUUCUCCCUCAGUCAAUGGCAUUGCCUCGACCGCAUCGGCGACUUCCGUUGCCGGGCGAUGGAGAAGGUCCUCGCCGGCCAUGCAAGUUCAGCAAGCACGGCUGCGAGGCGACCGUCAAGUUCACGGAGCUGCGUGGCCACGAGGAGGAGGCGUGCCCAUACGCGCCCUACAGCUGCCCGUUCGACGGCUGCGCCUACCGCGGCGCGCUGCUCUACGACCACGUCCGCGACGAGCACGCGCCGGCGCCCAACUGUUACACGGGCAGCCUGAUCCCGGGCGCGAGCGUCACUAUGCGGAGGGAUGACCCUGUCCACGCGCUCCUUCACCGCGACAAGGUGAGCGUGAUCCUCCUGCUCAACGGCGGCGACGUCUCGCUGUCGCUGGAUGGUGGUGUGACGCGCGACGAGUCUGGGCCUGGGACUGGGACUGGGUCGCCCUCGCUGACGGCGUCGGGGAAAGUGCAGUACGUCCGCCGGCUGGAGUGGUACCGGCCCCAGCACUUCCUUUUCGUGUCGGACGCUUUCUGGGGCUCUUCCGGCAGCGGCGUCGUCACCUUCACCACCACCAUCACCCUGACCAAGGAGGACGUGGAGGCCUUCUGGCGGCAGCACAAGAAGCCGGCGCCCGAGGACAGCGUUAACGGCGGCCUGACCGUCCUCACCUCGCCGCUGUCGAGGUGGACCCUGUGUGCAUCGACUCUGUCUCACGUCCGUUCGUCGCCUCCGGCGAUGACGGAUAGCGUGGACGGUGAGGGUGACGGCGAGGCUGCCGCUAGCCCCAGCACGACCCGCGACUGGUUAUGUGAUUCAAGAAAAUGGUCGUAUGUUUUAGAAAAGAAGGCUCAUGCCUUUUGA